GCCCGCUUGGCUCAGUGGUAGAGCGUGUCACUCGUAAUGACAAGGUCAUCAGUUCGAUUCUGAUAGUGGGCA
rnacentral:tRNA from 1 species